UACGAAGGGGGCGAGCGUUGUUCGGAUUUACUGGGCGUAAAGCGCGCGUAGGCGGUUACUUAAGUCGGAUGUGAAAGCCCUCGGCUUAACUGAGGAAGUGCACCCGAAACUGAGUAGCUAGAGUACGAAAGAGGGUCGCGGAAUUCCCGGUGUAGAGGUGAAAUUCGUAGAUAUCGGGAGGAACACCGGUGGCGAAGGCGGCGACCUGGGUCGAGACUGACGCUGAGGCGCGAAAGCGUGGGGAGCAAACAGG
rnacentral:rRNA from 1 species